rnacentral:rRNA from 1 species
GUGGGGAAUUUUGGACAAUGGGCGCAAGCCUGAUCCAGCAAUGCCGCGUGCAGGAAGAAGGCCUUCGGGUUGUAAACUGCUUUUGUACGGAACGAAACGGUCCGGGUUAAUACCCUGGGCUAAUGACGGUACCGUAAGAAUAAGCACCGGCUAACUACGUGCCAGCAGCCGCGGUAAUACGUAGGGUGCAAGCGUUAAUCGGAAUUACUGGGCGUAAAGCGUGCGCAGGCGGUUUUGUAAGACAGGCGUGAAAUCCCCGGGCUUAACCUGGGAAUUGCGCUUGUGACUGCAGUGCUGGAGUGCGGCAGAGGGGGAUGGAAUUCCGCGUGUAGCAGUGAAAUGCGUAGAUAUGCGGAGGAACACCGAUGGCGAAGGCAAUCCCCUGGGCCUGCACUGACGCUCAUGCACGAAAGCGUGGGGAGCAAACAGGAUUAGAAACCCUGGUAGUCC